UGACGUGGAUCCGGGCCCCACCGCCCAGCCGCGAGCUCCGCCGAGAGCGCCGGGGUGCGGCCGGGCCAGCGGAGCCGUGGCCCACCGGGGAUGGCGACGCCGAUCGCUCCGCGCCGGGGCGCCGGGGCUGCCGGCCGGCAGUGGUUGGUGCUGCUGCCGCCCCUGCUGCUGGCGCCGCUGCUGGCGCGGCCCGCGGGGGCGCUGGUGGAAGGGCUGUACUGCGGCGCGCGGGACUGCUACGAGGUGCUGGGCGUGAGCCGCGCGGCGGGCAAGGCGGAGAUCGCGCGGGCCUACCGCCAGCUGGCCCGGCGCUACCACCCCGACCGCUACCGGCCCGAGCCCGGCGACGAGGGCCCCGGGCGGACGCCGCAGAGCGCCGAGGAGGCCUUCCUGCUGGUGGCCACCGCCUACGAGACGCUGAAGGAUGAAGAAACUCGAAAAGAUUAUGAUUACAUGCUGGAUCACCCAGAAGAAUACUACAGCCACUACUACCACUACUACAGCAGGCGCUUAGCCCCUAAAGUGGAUGUGAGAGUUGUGAUUUUGGUCAGUGUGUGCGCUAUUUCAGUGUUUCAGUUUUUCAGCUGGUGGAACAGCUAUGACAAGGCAAUCAGCUACCUGGCCACAGUGCCCAAGUACCGUAUCCAAGCCAUGGAGAUUGCCAAGCAGCAGGGAUUGCUGAGAAAAGCCAAAGAGAAGGGCAGAAACAAAAAGUCCAAAGAGGAAAUUCGUGACGAGGAGGAGAACAUCAUAAAGAACAUUAUAAAAAGUAAAAUAGAUAUAAAGGGAGGCUAUCAGAAACCCCAGAUCCGUGACCUUCUCCUGUUUCAAAUUCUCCUAGCUCCUUUUCACCUGUGCUCAUAUAUAGUCUGGUAUUGCCGGUGGAUCUAUAAUUUUAACAUCAAAGGCAAAGAAUAUGGGGAAGAAGAAAGACUAUAUAUCAUACGUAAAUCUAUGAAGAUGUCAAAGUCUCAGUUUGAUAGUCUAGAAGAUCAUCAGAAAGAAACUUUUCUUAAACGGGAGCUUUGGAUAAAGGAGAAUUAUGAGGUCUACAGACAAGAACAAGAAGAAGAACUUAAGAAAAGAUUGGCUAACGACCCUAGAUGGAAGAGAUACAGGAGAUGGAUGAAGAAUGAAGGGCCUGGACGGUUAACGUUUGUGGAUGACUGAAGAUUGCUGGAAUGCUACUCGACCAGACCUUAAUUAAAUCUCAUUUCUGGAAUUGCUGCUGGCAGCCUGCUCACUUGGUAAAAGUUUGGUCGGUCUUUUGGAAUCAUGGCUAUUGCAUGGGUAUUUGAAUCCCUUAACUUUGUGCAGAGUACUGUGCUAGAGUGAAAGAGUGAUGCUCCUUUGGGUUGGAAUUGUGUGUCCUAAAGCAGCUGCCUGCCCCUUGUUGCCCCAGGGGUACAAGGUGAAAGCAGCUGAGAUGACAACUCAGGAAAGAAAGAACUUUCAGAGUGAAUAGAAUAAUCUGCUACUCUCCAGUUCAAGGCCUGCAUUUACUGAAGGGACACUUCCAGUGAGAUACAGAGGCAUGCCUGGAAUGGAACGGUGGCUCAAAAGGACAUCAAGUAGCCCUAAGUCACACUGCCUCUCAAAGUCUCAAGCAGUCUGUAAAAAUCUUUUCAGAGAAGCUGAAUCUACAAACCUGUUGGUGAACCUUUCACUCCUGAGUCAUUAUUUUUAAGCUGUAAAAAUAACGCAAUGGGUAUAAGGAAGUGAAAUGAUUUUUUUUAUGAUACAUUAUACUGUCACAUUAAAUAUAGUUGUUAAUGUAUUUCCCUGUUUCUUUUUUAGGAAACUGAAGGUAGCAGAAGCAUCUUCCCAUUAUAUCAUUAUUUUUAUGGAGAAGAGUGAUUUAACACUUCUUUUCUGGGAAAAUAACUUCGUAAAUUUACUGUUAGUAAAAGGGUGACGAAAAAAACAUGUCAGGAGUGAAGAAUUACAGAUCAUAUCAGGGAAACAAAAUGUUUGUCUUUACAAGGACACUGACAUUUCUAAAAAGUACUGAGAGUCUUAGAAAGAGUGGAAAUUUAUGUUUUUAUCUUAACCAAGAAAAAAUUGAAUAACAAAUUCUCUAAAAUAAUACAUGGGUGAUCUGUGCAUUUUAGCUGGGGUGAGGAGGAAAGGAUACUUUAUCCCCAUGUCUCAUGGUUCAGAGCUCUGGAGUUAACUGCAUCUGUGGGGACAGACUCUAGUCCUCCAGGUGACCAGUGACUUCUCUAGAAUGGAAGUUGUCUUCCUCACUCCCACUUUGUGUGAUACUAGGCAAGUGACUUUCCUUAGUGGGCCUUAGUUUCCUCAUCUCUAAAAUUGUGAACGGACUACCUUAUCUGAAGGUCUGUUUCCAAUCUGAAGUUCCAUGAUGCAAAAAUAAUGGAUGAGAAGACUUUGGUGAAGUAUAAAGCAAAACACAGAUGGUCAGCCCUCAGUUACAAGUGGCACCCAGCCUGCCUGUCCAUGAAUCACUGUAGGAGGCUGGAUGCUAAAACCUGGCUGUUUCCUCCAAGGCAGACAACUCCUCUCCAAGAAGAGCACAAUCAGUCAUACAGAGGCAAGCAGGGGCGGUGGGUGUGAUCAGGCAUGAAGGAGGGAGAUGGGGCACACUCCUAGACCUUUACUGCUACCUGGUGGCUGACACACACGUGUGUGUGCCCUCACUGUGGGCAAUCCCAAAGCAGCCUUUCCUAUCUAGAGGUCAUUUCAUUUCUUCAGCUGUAGUUAUGCUGUGUAGCUGUCUCCCACGUCAACAUCUGCCACUAAGCAUUUUCAGCAGCUUAGAGGCACGAAGCAGUACAGUUGAAGACUUAGUUUCUCCUAAGCCAAACUCAUCUUUAUUCUUCAUUCCUCCCUCCCUAGUCCUGUUUCCUAAUUUCUGUUACAGGCAUCAGAUCUCAGCUAUUCUCUGCUUCAGAAGCCUCUGCCCACUUUCUUUUGCAUUUCAGAACCACAAUGAAGUCCUACUAAUUUGGUCUUUUGAAUUUGUUCUCCAUCCCACCUUCAUGGUCCUCUCUAGGGCCUUGAUCCAGCCACUCCACCAAAAAGACAAAACUAUUAUUGAAGUUAUCUUGUCUCCCCAGCUUCAGUUCAUUUUCUAUUCUCAUCCCAGAUUAAUAUUCCUAAAAUGUCUUACCAUGUGACUACCCUGCUGUUUGCUGCAAACUCCUGCUUCUUUUGAGGUUUUCUGUGACUUGUAGUCUUAACAGCUUUGUAUCUUCUGUUACUCACUAGAGCCUUCUUUAUUCACUAAUUCAUUCUGCAUGUGCAUGGCCCCCUGUUCUCCCUACUACAAUGCUUUCCCUCGUCCUCUCUGCCAUCUGCAGGACACAUAUUUCCAAGGUCUAGGUUUCACCAUCUAAGAUGAGCUUUUCCUAAUCGUCCCAGUCUAUAUCUUUGCUCUAAGUUCUUUGCCACGUCUUUCUGACACACAGCUUCUCUAUUCUGUCACCAGUGUAGUCAUGUUUCUAACGUAUACUUUUAUUUUUUGACCAGAAUCGACGUUAAGUUCUUUGUGGGGAGGGAACUUGCCAUGGGAGAGGGCUUUAAAAUUUGCAUAUCUGCUCUUGUCAUGAGGUAAGAAAAAUUCUUUAACACCUCACAGACUGAACACAUAGCUCAAAAAAGGAAUAGAAGAAAUGUUCAGCCUCAACAGUUGAGACAUCUAAAAGACUUAAGACACCAUUUUUCAUCUAUUAGGUUGUUAGAGAUAAAGAACCAAAAUACUGAAUUGUGAGGGUGCAGAGAAAUAGGCAGCCUUCUUUCUGGUGGGAACAGCAAUUGCUACCACGUUCUGGAGGAUGAAGGAGGGAAAAGUUUUAAAAACUUUAUAUUCUUUGAUUCACCAAUUCCACUUUUAAGAAUGCAUCCUAAGGAAACAAAAAACAUACACAAAGCUGUAUGUUUAAGGUGGCCACCACAGUGUUAAAUAAUAGGGCAAUUGGUAAAUAAAUUAUGAUACAGUUGUACAAUGGAAUAUCACACAGUCAUUAAAAAUAAUACUUGGGAAUUCCCUGGUGGCACAGUGGUUAAGAAUCUGCCUGCCAAUGCAGGGGACAUCGGUUCGAGCCCUGGUCCAGGGAGAUCCCACAUGCUGCGGAGCAACUAAGCCCAUGUACCACAACUACUGAGCCUGUGUUCUAGAGCCCUUGAGCCACAACUACUAAGCCCUCGUGCCACAACUACUGAAGCCUGCGUGCCUAGAGCCCAUGCUCCUCAACAAGAGAAGCCACUGCAAUGAGAAGCUCGUGCACUGCAAUGAAUAGUAGCCCCGCUCUCAGCAACUGGAGAAAGCCCGAACGAAGCAACAAAGACCCAAUGCUGCCCAA